CAGUGGAGUAUGUGGUUUAAUUCGAAGCAAACGCGAAGAACCUUUACCAGGGCUUGACAUCCCUUGAAGCAGCUAGAGAUAGCUGUGUCCUUCGGGACAAGGAGACAGGUGGUGCAUGGUUGUCGUCAGCUCGUGUCGUGAGAUGUUGGGUUAAGUCCCGCAACGAGCGCAACCCCUGUGGUUAGUUGCCAGCAAGUAGCGUUGGGCACUCUAGCCAGACUGCCGGUGAUAAAUCGGAGGAAGGUGGGGACGACGUCAAAUCAUCAUGCCCUUUAUGUCCUGGGCUACACACGUACUACAAUGGCCGUUACAACGGGAAGCGAAGGAGCAAUCCGGAGCAAAUCCCUUAAAGGCGGUCCCAGUUCAGAUUGUGGGCUGAAACUCGCCCACAUGAAGGCGGAAUUGCUAGUAAUUGCAGAUCAGCAUGCUGCAGUGAAUACGUUCCCGGGCCUU
rnacentral:rRNA from 1 species